rnacentral:rRNA from 1 species
CAGCAGCCACGGGAAUACGUAGGGUGCAAGCGUUAAUCGGAAUUACUGGGCGUAAAGCGUGCGCAGGCGGUCCGCUAAGACAGAUGUGAAAUCCCCGGGCUUAACCUGGGAACUGCAUUUGUGACUGGCGGGCUAGAGUAUGGCAGAGGGGGGUAGAAUUCCACGUGUAGCAGUGAAAUGCGUAGAGAUGUGGAGGAGUACCGAUGGCGAAGGCAGCCCCCUGGGCCAAUACUGACGCUCAUGCACGAAAGCGUGGGGAGCAAACAGGAUUAGAUACCCCUGUAGUCCCUGUCUCUUAUAA